rnacentral:rRNA from 1 species
AGUGAACGCUGGCGGUAGGCCUAACACAUGCAAGUCGAACGGCAGCACAGGAGAGCUUGCUCUCUGGGUGGCGAGUGGCGGACGGGUGAGGAAUACAUCGGAAUCUGCCCAGUCGUGGGGGAUAACGUAGGGAAACUUACGCUAAUACCGCAUACGACCUUCGGGUGAAAGAGGGGGAUCGCAAGACCUCUCGCGAUUGGAUGAGCCGAUGUCGGAUUAGCUAGUUGGCGGGGUAAUGGCCCACCAAGGCGACGAUCCGUAGCUGGUCUGAGAGGAUGAUCAGCCACACUGGAACUGAGACACGGUCCAGACUCCUACGGGAGGCAGCAGUGGGGAAUAUUGGACAAUGGGCGCAAGCCUGAUCCAGCCAUACCGCGUGGGUGAAGAAGGCCUUCGGGUUGUAAAGCCCUUUUGUUGGGAAAGAAAUCUUUCAGGCUAAUACCCUGGGAGGAUGACGGUACCCGAAGAAUAAGCACCGGCUAACUUCGUG